CCGUACACAAAAGCGCAUGUGCUGUGAGCUCGAUGAGUAGGGCGGGACACGUGGUAUCCUGUCUGAAUAUGGGGGGACCAUCCUCCAAGGCUAAAUACUCCUGACUGACCGAUAGUGAACCAGUACCGUGAGGGAAAGGCGAAAAGAACCCCGGCGAGGGGAGUGAAAAAGAACCUGAAACCGUGUACGUACAAGCAGUGGGAGCACAGGUUUACCUGUGUGACUGCGUACCUUUUGUAUAAUGGGUCAGCGACUUAUAUUCUGUAGCAAGGUUAACCGUAUAGGGGAGCCGGAGGGAAACCGAGUCUUAAUUGGGCGUUAAGUUGCAGGGUAUAGACCCGAAACCCGGUGAUCUAGCCAUGGGCAGGUUGAAGGUUGGGUAACACUAACUGGAGGACCGAACCGACUAAUGUUGAAAAAUUAGCGGAUGACCUGUGGCUGGGGGUGAAAGGCCAAUCAAACCGGGAGAUAGCUGGUUCUCCCCGAAAGCUAUUUAGGUAGCGCCUCGUGAAUUCAUCUCCGGGGGUAGAGCACUGUUUCGGCUAGGGGGCCAUCCCGGCUUACCAACCCGAUGCAAACUGCGAAUACCGGAGAAUGUUAUCACGGGAGACACACGGCGGGUGCUAACGUCCGUCGUGAAGAGGGAAACAACCCAGACCGCCAGCUAAGGUCCCAAAGUCAUGGUUAAGUGGGAAACGAUGUGGGAAGGCCCAGACAGCCAGGAUGUUGGCUUAGAAGCAGCCAUCAUUUAAAGAAAGCGUAAUAGCUCACUGGUCGAGUCGGCCUGCGCGGAAGAUGUAACGGGGCUAAACCAU
rnacentral:rRNA from 1 species